UGCAUUUCUACCACUUGUUCU
rnacentral:piRNA from 1 species